CUUAUAAUGCCGUUUUCUAAAGAUAUUAGUGAACAAAAUCGAUUUGCUAACAAUAUUUAAUAUAUUUUAAAUGUGCUAAAAUUGGAUUCAACAGCAAAAGUCGCAUAAAUAACAUAUAAAUAACGAAUUUGUUCACCUAUUACAAAUGGGGUUAUGUGGUUGUAACUGUUUAUUUUGGGAAUAAAAUGAAAAUGAUCAAUUAAACGACUGGAAAACUAUAGUGAAGUGAAGAACAUCUUGAAGUUCCAAUAAUGUUCCAAGAUGAGGUAAAUCGAAAUAUUGGUUGUAUGUUAGAAGGACAGAGAAUACGAAGAAAUGUUAUUGCUGCAUACUUAGCGUAGUGAAAUACAAACUUCAAACAUUAUAAUAUAUUUUUUGAUUUCAAACAUUUCAUAUGAUUAUGAAAGAACAUCUUAGUCUUUAAAACAAUGAAGAAGUGAAGAACAUAAAGUUCCAACGAAAAUGAUUCCAGAUGAGGAAAAUCGAAAUAAUGGUUGUAUGUUACAUGUAUAGAGAAUACGAAGAAAUGUUAUUGCUGCAAACUUAGUGUAGUGAAUUAAAAACUUAUUGUCAAAUACAAA
rnacentral:lncRNA from 1 species